rnacentral:rRNA from 1 species
GCGGACGAACGCUGGCGGUAUGCCUAAUACAUGCAAGUCGAACGUGAAGCACUCUGCUUGCAGAGUGUGGAUGAGUGGCGAACGGGUGAGUAACACGUGGGUACCUGCCCAUAAGAGGGGGAUAACAUCCGGAAACGGGUGCUAAUACCGCAUAAGCGCAUGCUUAAAGAUGGCCUUGGCUAUCGCUUAUGGAUGGACCCGCGGCGUAUUAGCUAGUUGGUGAGGUAAUGGCUCACCAAGGCGAUGAUACGUAGCCGACCUGAGAGGGUGAUCGGCCACACUGGGACUGAGACACGGCCCAGACUCCUACGGGAGGCAGCAGUAGGGAAUCUUCCACAAUGGGCGAAAGCCUGAUGGAGCAAUACCGCGUGAGUGAAGAAGGUCUUCGGAUCGUAAAGCUCUGUUGUUAGAGAAGAAACGCAGAACAGUAACUGGUUCUGCGCUGACGGUAUCUAACCAGAAAGUCACGGCUAACUACGUGCCAGCAGCCGCGGUAAUACGUAGGUGACAAGCGUUGUCCGGAUUUAUUGGGCGUAAAGCGAGCGCAGGCGGUCUUUUAAGUCUGAUGUGAAAGCCCACGGCUCAACCGUGGAUGGCAUUGGAAACUGGAAGACUUGAAUGCAGAAGAGGUAAGUGGAAUUC